rnacentral:rRNA from 1 species
GACGAACGCUGGCGGCAUGCCUAACACAUGCAAGUCGAGCGAGUAGAUCCCUUCGGGGUGAAGCUAGCGGCGGACGGGUGAGUAACACGUGGGCAACCUGCUCAUAGAGGGGAAUAGCCUUCCGAAAGGAAGAUUAAUACCGCAUAAGAUUGUAGUACCGCAUGGUAUAGCAAUUAAAGGAGCAAUCCGCUAUGAGAUGGGCCCGCGGCGCAUUAGCUAGUUGGUGAGGUAACGGCUCACCAAGGCGACGAUGCGUAGCCGACCUGAGAGGGUGAUCGGGCACAUUGGGACUGGGCCACGGCCCAGACUCCUACGGGAGGCAGCAGUGGGGAAUAUUGCACAAUGGGGGAAACCCUGAUGCAGCAAUGCCGCGUGAGUGAUGACGGCCUUCGGGUUGUAAAGCUCUGUCUUCGGGGACGAUAAUGACGGUACCCGAGGAGGAAGCCACGGCUAACUACGUGCCAGCAGCCGCAGUAA